GAUGGACGCUGGCGGCGUGCCUAAUACAUGCAAGUCGAGCGAACAGACGAGGAGCUUGCUCCUCUGAUGUUAGCGGCGGACGGGUGAGUAACACGUGGAUAACCUACCUAUAAGACUGGGAUAACUUCGGGAAACCGGAGCUAAUACCGGAUAACAUGUUGAACCGCAUGGUUCAACAGUGAAAGACGGUCUUGCUGUCACUUAUAGAUGGAUCCGCGCCGCAUUAGCUAGUUGGUAAGGUAACGGCUUACCAAGGCAACGAUGCGUAGCCGACCUGAGAGGGUGAUCGGCCACACUGGAACUGAGACACGGUCCAGACUCCUACGGGAGGCAGCAGUAGGGAAUCUUCCGCAAUGGGCGAAAGCCUGACGGAGCAACGCCGCGUGAGUGAAGAAGGUCUUCGGAUCGUAAAACUCUGUUAUUAGGGAAGAACAAAUGUGUAAGUAACUAUGCACGUCUUGACGGUACCUAAUCAGAAAGCCACGGCUAACUACGUG
rnacentral:rRNA from 1 species